GACGGAGGAUGCAAGUGUUAUCCGGAAUCACUGGGCGUAAAGCGUCUGUAGGUGGUUCGAAAAGUCCACUGUUAAAAAUUGAGGCUUAACUUCAAAGAUGCCGUGGAAACUUUCAAACUAGAGUAUGGUAGGGGUAGAGGGAAUUUCCAGUGGAGCGGUGAAAUGCGUAGAUAUUGGAAAGACCACCGAUGGCGAAGGCACUCUACUGGGCCAUUACUGACACUGAGAGACGAAAGCUAGGGGAGCAAACGGG
rnacentral:rRNA from 1 species